rnacentral:rRNA from 1 species
GACAGAGGGGGGCAAGCGUUGCUCGGAAUCACUGGGCGUAAAGGGCGCGUAGGCGGGAUGGCAAGUCAGUCGUGAAAUCUCUCGGCUCAACCGAGAAACGUCGGCUGAUACUGCCGUUCUUGAGGGAUGCAGAGGAGACUGGAAUUCCCGGUGUAGCGGUGAAAUGUGUAGAGAUCGGGAGGAACACCGGUGGCGAAGGCGGGUCUCUGGGCAUCUCCUGACGCUGAGGCGCGAAAGCGU